GGUCCCGUAGUGUAGUGGUUAGCACGUAGGAUUUUGACAACUCCUCCGAGCCUCUUGGAAUUCCUGAGACGCGAGUUCAAUUCUCGCCGGGACCU